GUCUCUGUGGCGCAAUUGGUUAGCGCGCUGGGCUGUUAUCCGAGAGGUUGGUGGUUGAAGUCCACCCAAGGACG
rnacentral:tRNA from 1 species